ACGACCUUACUUGAACAGGAUCUGUUCUAUAGGCUCGUACCGCUGCAUCCUUUACCAAUAAGGAGGCAAGCACUUCAGUCUGGUUGAUGCAUUCUAACCUCUGGGCCAGAGCGUGAUUAACGGCUUGGAUUAACCUGAUGGAUGAUCGUUCCUGUUCUAGUACACACCGGUGCAGGGUGGCUCAGAGGUUGUCUGACAGACU
rnacentral:snoRNA from 1 species